rnacentral:rRNA from 1 species
UACGUAGGGGGCGAGCGUUGUCCGGAUUUAUUGGGCGUAAAGAGCGUGUAGGCGGCCAGGUAGGUCUGCUGUGAAAACUCGAGGCUCAACCUCGAGACGUCGGCGGAAACCAUCUGGCUAGAGUCCGGAAGAGGCGAGUGGAACUCCUGGUGUAGCGGUGGAAUGCGCAGAUAUCAGGAAGAACACCAACGGCGAAGGCAGCUCGCUGGGACGGAACUGACGCUAAGGCGCGAAAGCGUGGGGAGCGAACAGG